rnacentral:rRNA from 1 species
AAACUGUCUUUAGAUUUUUAAAUUUAACUUACUUAGGAAGUGCAAAUUCUUCUAAUUUAAAUAAUAGACGAGAAGACCCUAUAAAUUUUUAAUUAGAAAGAAUUAUCUCUUCUUACCCGUUUUUGUUGGGGCAACAGGUUUCCAUAAGAAACAAACUUAAAACUGUCUAAUGAAUCUAUCGAGAUAUUCUAGCAGAAAAAAAAUUACUUUAGGGAUAACAGCAUAAUUUUUCAUAAAGAUUGUGACCUCGAUGUUGGAUUAG